UUCAUUGCUUUAUAACUCAAAUUUGUAGCUGUAAUAUAAUUAUUUUUUUUAAUUGGAAAUAAGGGAAAUUUAAUAUACUCCUUUGUUCUACAUUUUGUUGAUAUGGGUACUGCAAAAGUCAUUAUAGUCCGAACUACUGUUGUUAGAGGAAGAUUGCCAAAAAAUGGGAAGCAGGGAGUGAGCAUAGCUCGAAUGGUUAAGUUGACCAAGACUGUAAAUGCACCCAUACAACUGGAGUAAAUAAUACUGGUGAACGUUGAAAGUAAAAGAAGGAGGAAAUAAAAAGUUCAGUGCAGAAAAAGUAAAUUUUUAAAUUGAUUUCGAGCCACUGUGCGCGUUUGGAGCCAAGGAACAACUACAUUCAGUUUCAGUUCGCAUUAAUGCAGCGUGAAUUAAGUGUCAAGGACAUUUUUUGGUUUUGCUGCCAACGACGCAACAUGUUUCAGUCUCUGGCUGCCGCUCCUCCUGCCCCCGUUCGCAGGUCCUUGCCGCCGGUGGGUGGUGGUGUGUCUGUCUGUUGUCACGGGUCCUGUGUGCUGUGCGUGUGUGCUUCUGCUUUGGGUGACCGAAAAUGCGUUGCAACAUUCAAGUAAGUGACGUAAAUGCAUCACGGACACAACACCCACACCCACGCAUGUGGGCGGACAUUCGGACGGACGGAGUAAAUCAUCGUCAUCAUCAUCAUCGCCAUCACCAUCAUCGGGGGCACCAAAGGACAUUCACAUCCACCUCCUCGUCCCCGUCCUCGUACUCGUCCGCACAGGACACACUCGCACGCAGGCAUCAGAGGCAGUUAUGGCUGUCAAGAUGAAUGCCAUAUCAUCGCCGCACCGAAAAUGGUGUCAAAACGUCACCAACGGCGGUUCAGCCCUUCAGCAGUAAAACUGCAAACAGAAAACAGGACCUCCACUGUUGUUAUCCGGAUGAAUUAUGAGUUGUGCCCGGCCGGAGUCGGAGCCGAAGGAGGAGGAGCAACUGACCCCCAGUCCCGCCGCCCGCUGGAUUCCAGGCAAUCUGUCACUGGCCCCUGCCUCUGUGGGAAAAACGAAGUACGAGUAAUUUAUCCCACUCCACCCACUCCGAAUAACCGCAGAAAAUUAAAUGCUAAACGAAGACAUUUACAAUGCAGGACAUUCUGGGAACAGGACUCCUUACAAUGCAACUGAGAUUGAGGUUGGUGCUAACUAAACAGAGCUGAGGGGGAGGUGGCUGCUGGGAGGGCUCCUAACCAAUGGUAUGCGGUGUUGCAAAUCCUAUAAACAUUGCAUUAGUAUUCUAAAGAUAAAAUAGUUGCAUCGGAA